ACCUGCCCACCACUUGGGGAUAACCUUGCGAAAGUAAGACUAAUACCCAAUGACGUUUCUAGAAGACAUCUGAAGGAGAUUAAAGAUUUAUCGGUGAUGGAUGGGGAUGCGUCUGAUUAGCUUGUUGGCGGGGUAACGGCCCACCAAGGCGACGAUCAGUAGGGGUUCUGAGAGGAAGGUCCCCCACAUUGGAACUGAGACACGGUCCAAACUCCUACGGGAGGCAGCAGUGAGGAAUAUUGGUCAAUGGGCGAGAGCCUGAACCAGCCAAGUAGCGUGCAGGAAGACGGCCCUAUGGGUUGUAAACUGCUUUUAUAAGGGAAUAAAGUGAGUCUCGUGAGACUUUUUGCAUGUACCUUAUGAAUAAGGACCGGCUAAUUCCGUGCCAGCAGCCGCGGUAAUACGGAAGGUCCGGGCGUUAUCCGGAUUUAUUGGGUUUAAAGGGAGCGUAGGCCGGAGAUUAAGCGUGUUGUGAAAUGUAGACGCUCAACGUCUGCACUGCAGCGCGAACUGGUUUCCUUGAGUACGCACAAAGUGGGCGGAAUUCGUGGUGUAGCGGUGAAAUGCUUAGAUAUCACGAAGAACUCCGAUUGCGAAGGCAGCUCACUGGAGCGCAACUGACGCUGAAGCUCGAAAGUGCGGGUAUCGAACAGGAUUAGAUACCCUGGUAGUCCGCACGGUAAACGAUGGAUGCCCGCUGUUGGUCUGAACAGGUCAGCGGCCAAGCGAAAGCAUUAAGCAUCCCACCUGGGGAGUAC
rnacentral:rRNA from 1 species